GAGGAAAAGAAACUAACAAGGAUUCCCCUAGUAACGGCGAGUGAAGCGGGAAGAGCUCAAAUUUGUAAUCUGGCACUUUCAGUGUCCGAGUUGUAAUCUCGAGAAGUGUUUUCCGCGCCGGACCGCAUACAAGUCUGUUGGAAUACAGCGUCAUAGUGGUGAGAACCCCGUAACUGAUGCGGAUGCCCGGUGCUUUGUGAUACACUUUCGAAGAGUCGAGUUGUUUGGGAAUGCAGCUCAAAUUGGGUGGUAAAUUCCAUCUAAAGCUAAAUAUUGGCGAGAGACCGAUAGCGAACAAGUACCGUGAGGGAAAGAUGAAAAGCACUUUGGAAAGAGAGUUAACAGUACGUGAAAUUGUUGGAAGGGAAACGCAUGAGGUCAGACUUGCUAUUUGGAAUUCAGCCGCAAGGUGUACUUUUCAAUUCGCAGGCCAGCAUCAGUUUUCGGGGGUGGAAAAGGGUAGAGAGAAGGUAGC
rnacentral:rRNA from 1 species